UUGAUUAAUUUCCUUAUGGAAAAAGAAAAAUACCUUUUCGAUUACUAAAUAAACUUUCAUAAAAAAAAAAAAAAAGAGCAUCCUCCCAUAUUCCUCUGUUUUUGCUGCGCUUUCGUCUUCCUCGGAGACUCUGUUCCUAGAGAGAGAAAGUAGAGAGAGAGGGAGAGAGGGAGAUGAGCAGGAACAGCAGCAGCAGGCUGAAUUCGGUGUUCUACGCGGAGUCGUACCACCCGAUCCAGGCUGCCUGCCUGCCUGCUUGAGAGAAGUGCUUGGGAGAUAAAUAAAUGAUUCGACUUGGCGUCGUUCUCGUGAUUUAUGAUUUAUGAGGGGAGUGUUGGGAGAUGGAACUUCUUUUGUUUUCGAGGAAGGGAACGGAAAUGCUUGCUGAAAUAUGGCUAUGAGCAAGUAUGGUCAUGUGAAAAACUUGCGCUUGGUUAGGCACAUUGUGACUGGUGCCUCAAGAGGUUAUGCUUUUGUUGAAUAUGAAACUGAAAGAGAAAUGAGACGUGCAUAUAAGUCGCCCAAUCCCAUUGGAUGACUUGAAGAGGCUGGGCAUUCCACCUCCUCCAGAGGGACAUUACAUGUCUCGCUUUGAGGUUCCAUCACCCCCUAGAAGAGGACAGGUUUUGUUAGAUAAGGAAGAAGGAUCUCACAGAAGCUCUAGCAACAGAGAAGAGCAUACUCACAGAAGAAACUCCGAGGACAGGGAAGGUUGUGUGCAUGGAAGGAGCCCUGGUGAUACAUUAGAUCACUCUUACGACAAAAGUUCCCAAGGAAGAACAUCACCGUGACAAGAGGCGCCAUCAGGAUCAGUAGUUUUCCAAUAGGAAGAGCUCGCUGGAAUUAGAAGAGAAGCACCAUUACAGAAGCUCUGUGGAGAAGGAAGAAACUGUAAGAAGCUCUUUGGAUGGGGAAGAGCGCUCUCGCAAACGGAGCUCCAUUGAUGAUGAUGGACGUAUCAAGAAAAGGAGCAGAAGAAGUUCGUCGGAGAGAGAGGAUCAUAAAGAGAGACUCUUCUGAUAGAGAGGAGCGCCAUCACAAAAGCAGGUCUCCAGAUGAGAAAGAAGGCUCUUAUAAGCAUCACAAACAUCGUGAGAGAUCCCAUCAGCAUGAGGGGAAAAGAUCAAUCAGUCAAGAAUAUCCAUCUGAUUAUUGAUUUUUGGGCAGUUUGUCUUUGGUUUGAAUCCGGAGAAACAUGCACGUAGGGAUUGCUUUUUGCUUGCCUUCUACAGAGUGUAAUAAGGAGAAUGAUGUGCAUAGAGAUUUUAAGUAAUUUUACCUCUCAUGCUGAGGCGUCCUCGACAUUACUACAACGAAGCCACAGAGAGUGACCAGCGGGACUUUUGCAGAGGACGGUUUGCCGGUCUUGAGGAACUAGAGGUGUUAGAAACUCGGUUAUUGAUUGCACGAGUGAUGGUCGUCUUGUUUCUGUGAUUGAGUUUAACCAGAGGUGUAAAUACGGAAGGCAUACUGAGGGAGAAGUCGUCUUGUUUCUGUGACCGAGUUUAACCAGUGGCAUGAAUACGAAAGGCAAACUGAGGGAGACUUCGCCAUCCGGAACACCUAAUUCCUACCGGAGGUAGUCCAUCUGCGUCACAACUUUUAGAUGUGCCAACAAUUGUCAUUGAAAGUAACUCUUCAAUUGGAUAUAUGACGGAUUGUGCUCAGAUUGGCAAGGGAAAUCAAAUUGUUAUCGCAUAAGCGCAGGCUAACGCACCUUUUCAUCUUUUAGGCACUCUAGUGCUAGUCUUUUGUUAUUCGUAACAUAAUUUCCUUAUCAGGAAGCUGCUUCACUCCCACGCAGAAGACAAUACUAAGCUCUGUAUCCUUUCGGUCUGUUUAAGGCCCAAUUCUCUAAAUUUCUCUGCUGAAAAAAUCA